GCCAGACUCCUACGGGAGGCAGCAGUGAGGAAUAUUGGUCAAUGGGCGGGAGCCUGAACCAGCCAAGUCGCGUGAGGGAAGACGGUCCUACGGAUUGUAAACCUCUUUUGCCGGGGAGCAACGGGGUCCUUGCGAGGGCCCAAUGAGAGUACCCGGAGAAAAAGCAUCGGCUAACUCCGUGCCAGCAGCCGCGGUAAUACGGAGGAUGCGAGCGUUAUCCGGAUUUACUGGGUUUAAAGGGUGCGUAGGCGGAUUUGUAAGUCAGCGGUAAAAAUGCGGUGCUCAACGCCGUAUCGCCGUUGAAACUGCAGGUCUUGAGUGAGCGAGAAGUAUGCGGAAUGCGUGGUGUAGCGGUGAAAUGCAUAGAUAUCACGCAGAACUCCGAUUGCGAAGGCAGCAUACCGGCGCUCAACUGACGCUGAGGCACGAAAGCGUGGGGAUCGAACAGGAUUAGAUACCCGGGUAGC
rnacentral:rRNA from 1 species